GUGAUAGAACAGGUGCCAACAAAAAAGUAUGAAACCCUUUUAUUAUAUUCGAUCAAUACAGCCAUAUUUGGCUGAAAUGUUGCACGUUCAUUUUUUAAGUGCACAAAUGUUGUCACAAAGUUCAAUAUGGCGCACGUCGUGCCUCAACCCAACCCGUUUUUCUUUUCUUUUUCCUGUGAAGCUCGAUAACUUUUUUCUCUCUCUCUUAUGUGUUUUGCAUUUAUUCUUGUAUUUAUUUAUUUGCAUUCUUGUUUAUGUAUUUGCAGUGCGUUUUAUACUUUGCACCAAGUUUUGCCUUCGUUUUUAGGAAAUGCAAUUUACAAUGUAUACCUAAUCUAUUAUUACGAAUGUUGGAUCUAGAAUAACGACUUUGGCGUGACUAGCAGCCGUGUCAUCAGGUAACCCUCUGGUGGAGAAAGGUGGAUACUAUUUUUUCUUUCUUACAUGGGAACUAGGUAAAGUAAAUGGGAAAAAGGCGAGAGAUUUUAUUUUUUGGCGCCAAUAUAAAGAAACACCUUCGAAAAAGAAAGCCCUGGGGGCAUUUGGAAAUAAUUUUUCAAAGUUUUGCUUUGGCGACGGUGGAUACAGUUAGCCUGGAACAGUUUCAAAUAAAUUUACAUCCAAAAUUCAAUAAUGAGACAAUUUAAUAAUUUUUUAAUCCCCAAAGAUAACGAAAUGAUCAAAUUGCAUAACGAAUUAAUCGGCUUACCAUUCGAAAUAAGAUGGCCGACUCGUCGAGUUCGUUUGGGACAAGCACCUCUGGCUGCACAGGCAAGCUAAAACCGUUUUCUGCGCCGGUGGCACUAACGAUGCAGCAAAACAAAAUAAAAAGCCUAGUUUCGCGACUUAGUCUUUUUGUUUUGAGGAGACGAUAAUAAAUCAAAUGAAAAUGCCUACAGCCAUAUGGGAUGAAGCAAUAAUGAUUUACCGAGCCCCCGCCAGUCCCUGGAAAUGAUCAUUUACUACAUCAGAGACUAGGUUUUUUUUCUUUUUUUUCUUCAAAGAAAGACAUGAUCACGCAAUUUUGCCAAUCCCCGUUCGUUGUUUUGUAGUAAACUACAUGUUAAUUUAUCGAUCGAAAGUAAAAGUUUGUUGGGAAUUCGCGUGAUCACGAUUUAUAAUCCAGACAGGAAAAUCCAUACGAUUUUCAGAAGCAUAUUAAGAAACUCGUACAUUCAAUCGACUUGCAAUAAAUACAAAAUCCUUGAAACAAAGAAACAUGUAUACAUCCUUUGUGAGUUUCUCUUCCACGACUUGUAGCCAUGGAAAAUUGAUCGAAACUUUAGAUGGCAACGUCUUCUGGCAUCACGGCGUUCUCUCUUUCCGGGCAGCUCAUCCCAAAGUCCAUCGAUUUCCGUCAUUGAGGAUGUUUUUUUUCCCCUUUUUCUUUUACUUCCGUCGUCAGCUGUUGAAUAAGCCAAGCAGACGACACCCACACAAAAUAUUUUGUAUUCUUUUGUCGUCUGCUUGCCAAGUUUCUUGGAUCGAUUCCAAUGGACGCUAACCAUUCGUAAAAAAUAUUCAUCGUAACAAUUCGUUUAUUGAAUUGAAUCAAGUAAUCAACACACACAGGCAACGUACCCAUUUCAAAAAGUUCCUUGUUUCAUGGUGGUGAUACUGUAUAUGUAGAAAGAAUUUUACAUACAUACACUGUGAACAUACAAAACAACAAUUUUUUUGUUUUCUGCAAAAGAAAGAAGAGACACACCAAGGCAUUUGGAACGAGUGAAAAUGAGAAGAAAAAAAAAAACAGCCCAUGCACUCAGUUUUGUGUUUUUAGUCUAAUGUAAUAAUUAAAUGUGUUUCGUUCCAUGUGUACAACACGAUUUGCCUUUCUGGAGACUGGAAAAAAAAACUCGUGAUUUUUUUCUUUCACCUCGAGAACAAAAGAGACAAAAAAUCCAAAUAUGACAUAAUAUGUAUAGUAGUUUAGUAUCAUAGAUAUUAAUUAUAUAGCAUUCUUUUUGCAGUUUUUCUUUUGAAUAAUCAAUAAUACAUGACAACAAUUGUUAUGUGCGCCAUCUUCCAGGUUGAAAAAAAAAAAGUUCCAGUGAAGCCGAAGAAAAACCAAAUAUACUUUAAAGAGAGAUCGAAAAAAGAAUUUUUUUGUUUUUGUUUUUCUUUUCAAAUCCAAUAUUAUGUGUGUGGCCUUCAAGUUUCACCGAGCAAAAACCCAUUUCCUCAUUUGACGUCGACGCUGUUUACAUUUUUGACAUUAUUUCUUUAAACCACGAAUUAAAAAGGGGGAUAAUAGAGAAAAGAAAAAAAAACCUAAAAACAUUAUUGUAUAACUUUGUACUUGGAUUGGUUUCGAGUCGUGUGUCUCUCUCGGUCAUGUUGCAAAUUCUCCCUCAGGUAAGAGACAAAAAAGACCAAUCUCCGGCAAGUCUCUCAAUGCAAUCUCCCUGAAUUCAUUAAUGUUUUGAACCCGUAAACCCAGUAAGGAUUAAAAAAAAAAAAAAGGUUUUGAGAAUUCACGACAUUUAAAUUACCACCUAAUUUUCUCCAAAAUAUUUUUUUUUAAGAUCAUUUUUUUUUAACUUCUUUUCCUUAUUGGACCCUUCCAGCUUUUUCCUGUUCUGAAAGACUGUAAUAAGAAAUGAAUCUUAAAUACGUAGGACAGUCUGUGUUGUCAGGGUCUUUCCAAUAUUUUGUUUCGAAUAAUAUUCUUAAUUAUAUUUAUAUAUAUUGUUUUAGAGGAGUAUACAAGCGAAAUAAUGUAUAGAAAAUAAUAAUAUCGCGCCCGCAAACGUGUGUGUCUGUGUGAGGAUUGGGGAACGAUAAACGAAAAACACAACAAGGACCAAAAAUUGUUGGGCGCUGAUGCACAAAGAGAU